rnacentral:lncRNA from 1 species
AAAGGGCUGUAUUGGUAAUAGAGACAAUGAAAGCGGGAGUCAACACAAAAUGAUACACAGCCUAAUAACAAUACAUUGUGCAAUUAAUGUACAUUAACAUUCCCUUCAGCAAGACCUUCCUCACCUCCCCUUCUCAACAUAAUCCCUGUGUAUUUACCCUGCAGCAGGGAAGCAAGGAGCAUGGUGGCUCAUGCUUGCCUUCUUGAAGGGGGAUUCAGAAUCACAGUUCAGUGCAUCAAAAAUAAAACUAAAAAUAAAAGCAAAUUCAAAUCAGGAGGAGCUGGAGGCAGCUCAGUACAUAAAGUAUUUGUUCCUAAGAGCUGGCCUUCAGGCUAACCGGGGUUUUUUGUAUCCUCAGAGGCCUACACUCACCCUGAUGUACUUCCUGGUCACCUUCCUGUCUGCCAGCCCACAGGAGACCAAAGCCCUGAGCGGAGGACACAACACUUGGCAAAGGAGCCUGGCAGAAGGAGCAGCAUGCUUUGCUGGCAUUGGAACAGUCUCAAGGCAGUUGGAAGUGUCCAAACUCCCAAACUCAAAUUACUAGUUGGUUUAAAAAGCCAACUGAACACAGGCCUAGAAACCACACAGCUGGCGCUUCCUUACUGCCCACUGGGACAGGUUCUUCCGCAUCCCUCAUGGAAGUGCCUUGCCUUUGCCAAAACAAAACUGCCUGUGACAGAACUCUUGUUCUUUGGGGGUAGGGGCCACCAUUUCUUUCAUACAUGUUUUACCAACACUCAGGAGCAGAGGGGUCUCUACAGGCCACCAAGAGGAUGCAUUAACAGCACGGAGUCCCUCAGCUGCUUUGGUAGGCCUGUGUCUGGGCACUAGUAAUCACCACUGUGAAAAGAGCUCUGACCUGUUUCACUUUGGCCAGAGCUUGAGAAGAACUAGCACAGGUCCCCUGCACAGAUUCAGGGCUACCUCUUUGUAAGCUGACCUCCCGAGCUUUGCCUCCUCCAGCUUCCAUGGACUAACAGGCCAUGCCAACUUCUGUGCUGCUCCUUCAGCCAGGGGUGCGGUUCCGCAGUGAUCAAACCUGCAGCUCAUUUUCUCUGGUGCUAGGAGUUGCAGAUGUUAAUUUCAUUUAUACUAAACAGUAGAGAAUUAAUACAUGGUUAUAUGGAGACAAUUUGCUUGGGAAGACAUGGAAGUGCUCCAAGAGAGAGCACAGCCUACUUGUAGGAGAACAAGGAAGGAAGUAGGAAUUGUGUGCUGAGAACGGAGUACAAAACCUCUAACACAUGAUGCUGAGCCUUAGAGGGUGGAGGUAGGACUUCUACAACAUACCCUCCUUGUGCUGGCUUCUCUGGGUGGCGUGCAGGGCACCUAUGGACCUACAAGUGAAAACUUCCAUGUC